UCACUCCCUUUUGGUAGCACAUAUACUAAAAUUGGAAUGAUACGGAGAAAAUUAGCAUGGUUCUGUGUAAGGAUGACCGAGAAAUGCAGGAAGCAUUCCAUAUUUUU
ensembl:snRNA U6 U6 spliceosomal RNA